rnacentral:rRNA from 1 species
GGGGAACGAGUAGAGUGGCGAAAGGGCGAUGAAUAUAUGGGUAACGUACCCCGAGCACGAGGACAGGCGUGGGAGACUGCGAAUAAUACUCGAUACUGCCGUGAUGCCAUAUGGCGACACGGUCAAAGGAUGGCCUCUGCUUGCAAGCUAUCGGCACGGGAGCGGCCCAUAUCCUAUCAGCUAGUUGGUGGGGUAACGGCCUACCAAGGCGACGACGGGUACCGGGACUGAGAGGUUGACCCGGCGCAUUGGGACUGAGAGGACUGCCCAGACUCCUACGGGAGGCUGCAGUAACGAAUAUUGGGCAAUGGGCGAAAGCCUGACCCAGCGACGCCGCGUGCAGGACGGAGUCCUUCGGGAUGUAAACUGCUGUCAGGGACUACCAAGCAAUCAGGGCAAAUAGUCCUGUGCGCUGAGGAAUCCCAGAGGAAGCCACGGCUAACUUCGUGCCAGCAGCCGCGGUAAGACGAAGGUGGCGAGCGUUGUUCGGAAUCACUGGGCUUAAAGAGCACGUAGGCGGACGGUCAAGCGUCUUGUGAAAUCCCUCGGCUUAACCGGGGAACUGCUUGGCGAACUGAUCGUCUUGAGGCAGGUAGGGGCAAGCGGAACUCUUGGUGGAGCGGUGGAAUGCGUAGAUAUCAAGAGGAACGCCAGAGGCGAAGGCGGCUUGCUGGGCCUGUCCUGACGCUGAGGUGCGAAAGCCAGGAUAGCGAGCGGGAUUAGAUACCCCGGUAG